rnacentral:rRNA from 1 species
UAAAGCUUUUGCGGUUUGGGAUGGGCCUGCGUCCUAUCAGGUAGUUGGUGAGGUAAGUGCUCACCAAGCCUAUGACGGGUAGCUGGUCUGAGAGGAUGGUCAGCCAGACUGGGACUGCGACACGGCCCAGACUCCUACGGGAGGCAGCAACUAGGAAUUGUGCGCAAUGGACGAAAGUCUGACGCCGCGACAUCGCGUGGAGGAUGAAGGUCUUCGGAUUGUAAACUCCUUUUCUUACCGAACAAGUUCUGAGUGUAGGUAAGGAAUAAGUGCCUGCUAACCACGUGCCAGAAGCAUCGGUAAUACGUGGGGCACGAGCGUUAUCCGGAUUUACUGGGCGUAAAGAGAAGCGUAGGCGGCUCGAUAAGUUUGGUGUUAAAUCUUCCGGCUCAACCGGAAACAAGCACCGAAAACUAUCGAGAUUGAGUCGAGUAGGGAAGAGGGGAAUUCCUGGUGGAGCGGUUAAAUGCGUAGAUAUCAGGAGGAAUACCAAGGGCGAAGGCACCUCUUUGGACUCGUACUGACGCUGAGGCUCGAAAGCGUGGGUAGCAAAACGGAUUAGAUACCCGUGUAGUCCACGCCGUAAACGAUCCCUGUUAGAUGUAUGUUAUGU